GAUGAACGCUGGCGGCGUGCCCAACACAUGCAAGUCGAGCGAUUCUCCUCGGAGAAGAGCGGCGGACGGGUGAGUAACGCGUGGGUAACCUGCCCUGUACACACGGAUAACAUACCGAAAGGUAUGCUAAUACGAGAUAAUAUGCUUUUAUCGCAGGGUAGAAGUAUCAAAGCUCCGGCGGUACAGGAUGGACCCGCGUCUGAUUAGCUAGUUGGUAAGGUAACGGCUUACCAAGGCGACGAUCAGUAGCCGACCUGAGAGGGUGAUCGGCCACAUUGGAACUGAGACACGGUCCAAACUCCUACGGGAGGCAGCAGUGGGGAAUAUUGCACAAUGGGCGAAAGCCUGAUGCAGCAACGCCGCGUGAGCGAUGAAGGCCUUCGGGUCGUAAAGCUCUGUCCUCAAGGAAGAUAAUGACGGUACUUGAGGAGGAAGCCCCGGCUAACUACGUGCCAGCCGCCGCGGUAAAAC
rnacentral:rRNA from 1 species